GCCAAUAGCUGGUCCAUGGAGUGUCCCUGAUCAACUGAAAUAUCCAUCUCAAUCCUGUCCUGGUUGUCAGCUCCACCUCCCUGCUGUCUCCUUCCCUCCAUCACUGAGCUCUCCCCCUGCACCCGUAGGGAGCUCCCUUCUCACACUGCCUUGCAAGGGAGGGCUACAGCCACCUCUGCCUCUUUGUCCGCCAGGUGCUCGCUGCAUCUUCGUAUAUGAUGGUGCAGGUCGGAAGGGCAGCCAUGUUCCUCCCCUUCCAGCUGAUCAGCAGGUUCCAGGCUGGGUCGGGCCGAUGCUGGGAUAACUACAUGACAGAAACGCUCCUCUACCUGGAAGAUCACAAGACCUGCUUCUGGCAGAAGGAGUGGGAGCAGCAGCUGCUGCAGCACGUCAAUUUCUGGAUGCACUCCAGAGAGAAGUAGAAGAAAGCCAGGGCCAUAUGGAGCAGCACUGCCCUGCUCUGAUUUGCCACCUGCCUCCCCGGAUUUGACG